GGUAAUGCCGGAUGCUCCGACUCCUCGCAUGGGGUGUCGGGAAAGAUUUCAUCGGUAUGGGAUGGGGUCGCGUCCUAUCAGGUAGUCGGCGGGGUAACGGCCCACCGAGCCUACGACGGGUAGCCGGCCUGAGAGGGCGACCGGCCACAUUGGGACUGAGAUACGGCCCAGACUCCUACGGGAGGCAGCAGUGGGGAAUAUUGCACAAUGGGCGCAAGCCUGAUGCAGCGACGCCGCGUGCGGGAUGACGGCCUUCGGGUUGUAAACCGCUUUUGAUCGGGAGCAAGCCUUCGGGUGAGUGUACCUUUCGAAUAAGCACCGGCUAACUACGUGCCAGCAGCCGCGGUAAUACGUAGGGUGCAAGCGUUAUCCGGAAUUAUUGGGCGUAAAGGGCUCGUAGGCGGUUCGUCGCGUCCGGUGUGAAAGUCCAUCGCUUAACGGUGGAUCUGCGCCGGGUACGGGCGGGCUGGAGUGCGGUAGGGGAGACUGGAAUUCCCGGUGUAACGGUGGAAUGUGUAGAUAUCGG
rnacentral:rRNA from 1 species